AAUAGGAGAAUGACAAAUUAGAUUUUUUCCUCCUGAUUUUCAGGUUUGUCCUCCUCAAAAAAUUCAAAUCUAACUAAAAAUGCUAAAAAUCAAAAGGAAAAAUAUGAUUUGUCAUUCUCCUAUU
rfam:Gossypium arboreum cultivar AKA8401 contig_8879_1, whole genome shotgun sequence.